GGCGGGAAGCUCAGCGGUGGGGCCACGCGCGGAGUGCGCGUCACUCUCCCGGCCCCUGGGAAGGUCUGAGACUCGGGCCAGCAGCGGCCCUAGCAGGGCCCUCCCCGCGCGCGGGGGGGUGAGUUCCCAGAGAGCGGGCCCCGGCGAGGGCCUUCGGGCAGGAGAGGCCGCGCGCGCGGCGGAUGCCCCCUCCCCGGAGCUUGGAAUAGACUCACGGCCGGCACGGUGAGUUCAAUGGCUGGGCCGGGGCACCCGAGCUGGCCGGCACCGGGCCGCGGGGCUCUGGAACCCAAUUCAGACUACUCUCCCCCGCC
rnacentral:RNase_P_RNA from 2 species